rnacentral:lncRNA from 1 species
CCUUGAAAAAGGCCAAAUAGUGCUCCUCAUCCUCGGACGAGUCGAGUGAUGGUCGAGGACAAUAUUGAAGAGGAUAAUCCUCUGGAGACCCCUCAAAAAAGACCAACUAAAGCUCUUCAUCCUCAGAUAAGCCGAGUAGAGGCUAAGGACAAUGCCAAAGGGGCUAACCCUCUGGGGCCCCUCGAAAAAGGCCAACUAGCUCUCUCUGUCCUC